rnacentral:lncRNA from 1 species
AUGAUCCCUGUGGGAACCUCCAGUCUACACAACAGGCACCUGGGAACAUCCUCCGUACAAGUGACCCACAUUGCAGGAGCACAGGGAACACAACUGGAUGGGUUUCCAAUAGGCAACAGCUCCAGCCAUGAAACACAACAAAGGGACCAUGAUUCAGAGGGCAAGGUGAAGCUUGCAAUCUCUAUGGGAACUGGAGACCGGUCUAAUGACAGGGCACAAGAAGAAGCAAGAGCACAGGUCCAGCAGAUGAACAGAAACCAUCAGAUCACAGACAAAAGCUGAGAAAAUGAGGCAAUCAGUGUGUUUAGGUUUAAAACACAAGUCCAAGGACCAUGGUGUGGGGACCUACACCUGACACAAAAGCAGCCCACAAAGUACUGAAGCAGGGCUGUCCAUGGAGGGGACGGAUGGUUACUUCAGGAGAAUGCAGAACGGCAAGGAAGCAAUGCCAAACUCAGACAAGGGAUUCCUAUUCAUUCUAUUUCCAAGUCUUUACUAUCUUUAAUGCCUGUUGAAAUAAAACAUUUGGAAGAAAAAUCCGCCCUGAUGGUUUAACUUUCUCAC